ACAGGAAGCCGGAAGUCGGCGUCUUUCACAAGCAACAUGGCGGACGCGUUAGCAAACAGCGAGCUGCAAAGUCUUCGGAAUCGUUUCAAAAAAGAUGCAGAGUUUGUUUUGCGCGGGGUUUCUGAAAAUGACACUGGAGAGAAGAGUCCGGAGGACAAAGAUGCAAAACCUCUCCCUCGCUUUAACCGUCACUCCAUCUUCUGGAUUGUGGCUUCCAUCGGGCUGACUUACUACACUGAUUUCUUCUCUGUCCUUAUGAAAGACGAGAACAUUAAAAGCUGGUGGUUCAGCGUGGGUGUGGCCCUGCUGGGAGUGAGCCUGGCAAUGGCGCUCUUCAGCAUCGUCUACCUCGACUGGUUCCGGGGGGUCCGGCAGUAUGACGUUCAGUACCCAGCCAUCGCACCCGUGACCACUGCCGCCUUCAUCGCUUCCUCCUGCAGCUUCAAUAUAGCACUUUGGCCCGUGUGGUCAAUCUGCACUCCCAUUAUCCUCUUCACCCAGUUCAUGGGAAUUGUGAUGUUCAUCUCCCUACUUGGCUGAGAUAUGAAGCCACCUGGAUGUGUCUAGUGAUCCAACUAGAGUUACCUUGCUCAAGUCUCUCAGCGAGGACAGCGGUAUGAUGGUAUUAUGGUAUACCCUGGUAUUUAGAAGUCCCAAAGGGCUCUUCUGAAGAAGCACAUACCACUGAACUCAAGAUCAACUUGAAAAAAAUGUGUAUAUUCUGUAUUGGUUUAACCUGCCACACUUAUUUUGUAUCUGCUACUCAAAAGACCUGACUUUUCUAUUGAUUUGUAGGAUGUUUCUGUAUAGAUUUCUGGGGCAGGCAUAGCUGUCCAAAACAGAUAGUUACUUGCAGCGCUUCCAUGAAAGACAGGCUUGCUGUAAGCAGCAGUGCUGCGUGUGCCUCUGUGGCUUUUUGUGUUUUUGCUGCUGUUUCUAGUACAAUAUGAAUGCCCUAACAUCAUUGCAAUAACGUUCAACACAACAUUUCCAUAAGCAUAACGUUCAGUACAUUUCUCAGAAUUGGGUGUAGCCUGCUGUACAUGAAUAGGAUUACCUAAUGUCGUGCAAGCAAUGUUGUUUGUUUGUAGGUGUUGUCAUUCAACGGAAGGUAUCAUAGUUUUGGAAAGGGCUCCAAGAUUGCCAUGACAAAACCAUAAUGAAAAAAUCAUGCUCCACAUUUUGGAGUAGCCACCUUGUGGACGUUUAAGCAACUUCAUGCUAAUUAAGACACUGAUAAUGUUGAUUCAUUACAGUGCUUGGUGUAAUUUGAUGGCAGGUUACUAUAACAACCCCAGGAGUAAACACUAAACAUAUGUGAUUUCCUACCAAGCUGUCCACCAUUACUCAUGCUGUAUCUCAACGUGGGUUUCUGUAUGGCGAUUUUUCAGCUAUUCCACUGCGUCACCUUGAUGAAUAGCCUGUACAAAUGAGAAAGUCACACGUUACGUGACCUUAGUGACAAACUCCCCAUUGUCAAGAUUUAACUUUGGCUAACCUGUAGGACAGUUACAUUUUAACCUUGCACAACACAUUCACUUGAUCUUAGUUGCUGAAUUCAAUAACUUUUUGUAUGAUCUAUGAUCGUUUUCACAUAUACAAUGGCAAUUGGAGCUGCUCAUUUUCUCUGUUUAGUUACAUUCAUAGCUUUAUAUUUGCUUAUAAAUCUGGGGCUCAGGUGUACAGUUUUUUUUAUUUUUGGCACAGAUUUUUGUAUAGUAUGAGAUGACUCAUGAGUAAAGCUUUUCACACUAAUUUUAGUCAUUUGCAAUCUAUAAGUAGUUUUGAGAAAUUGAAUUAUAUAUUACAGAUUUGCGUACUUAUGCAGUAGUAAUCCUUAAAAAAAUUUUUUUUAAAAAACCUAAUAUUGUAUUUGUAUUAUAUCCCUGCAUGCAAACAUCUGUAUUUUAUAAAUAUCCUGUGCGUAGCCAAUUUCUCACAUUUGCAUUUCAGGAUAUUUUCUUAGCUCUUUAUAUUUUUUUGUUAAAAUUUAUCUUCAUACACUGCUCAGAGCUUUUUGUGUGUAAUUUUCAUGUCAUUCAGAUGCAAUUGAAAAUAAAACUAAUUACUUCAUAAA